AGGGUGUAUAUGGGAAGACGCCUUUUCUGUAAAUUCACUUCUGUCUUGUCUUGAGGACAUUAAGUCCUGGAUGGCCCUAA